AAUAAUGUUGCAUUAAAAAAUUCGAUUAAAUGAAUAAUGGAGUAAUGAAAACCAUUUACAAGAAACAGGAAGUAGGCUGUGUUUCCAUGGGUUGAGUGAGUUAUGCCAAGGCCUGCAGCAUGAACCCAGGUUUUUAUGUUGUGUUCGUUUAUAUUUCGCUAAAUGAAGCAGGCCGAUUUCGUUAGCAGCAGUUCCUGCUUGUUAUGAAAUUUUGGAUGUACUGACAACUGUCAACGAAUCACUCUGGUACUGAAGAAAGCCUAAAAACGCCAUGAUCUUCGGUGAAGUUCUGAUGUUAUAAGGAACGUCUUCUUUCUAUCAUUUAAAAGGGUCUAUGGAUAACGAAGUCCUCGGAAAGGGAGAUAUUUAGGAUUCAGUAUCUCUGUCAAAGGGCUCUUGGUCAUGCAGUCAGGAAGAAAUCUGAGCUACAGCAACACUGUCACCUUCAGGACUUGGCUGGGGACAGUGGCCUUAGUGUCAUCCUGGUGUUGAGCCCUGGUGAAAAGGCAACAGAGACGAGCCAAUGAGCUAAGUGAUAUUAGCUCUUUGCCUGCCUCAGACCUACACACACAUACUGUAGACACACAACCAUAGAGACACACAUACACUAUGUUUAAAAACAGACAGCAGUAUCACACACACAUAGAAAGCCAUGUCAAUACACUCAGCAGCUGUCGAUGCUGGCUCCAAACCUCUAAACAAUCAGCACGCACACACACAUCCUCUGUCAGCCUGGAGUUGACGCUGACAGGCCGCUCUUUUGUUCAUCAUUCACCCACAGAUGAGAACACAAACAAGAAAGAGAGAGGGAGAGAUAAAAGCCCUCCCCCCUGCACGGCGUAAUCCAAUUACAGGCCUGAAAAUUUGAUUGGCGCCCAAGGAGUGUGCCUUCAGCUGUCCAUCAUUAGCGACUAGGGAACAGGGGGCUCGCCGAGGGUGCUGUUAGGGUGGAGGAAGGUGUGUGUGUGUGUGUGUGUAAGGCAGAGCAGGAGUUGCACUUUAUCUCUGUUGGCUCAAAGACGUCUCCUCUGUCUUCAUGUGCCAACGUGCAAUGUAUACUCCCCAUUAAUGGCCAUUAGAAAAAAAUGCCGCACGGUGAAAAAUGCCUUUAUUAAACAUUUAUCAAAUGUGCUGCAGAUUCCUUUGCCAGGCCUCCUUUUCAGGCUAUAAAUGCCAUACAAGUAAAUAAAAAAACAAACACAC